rnacentral:rRNA from 1 species
UACGUAGGGUGCAAGCGUUGUCCGGAAUUAUUGGGCGUAAAGAGCUCGUAGGCGGUUUGUCGCGUCUGCUGUGAAAACUCGGGGCUUAACCCCGGGCCUGCAGUGGGUACGGGCAGACUAGAGUGCGGUAGGGGAGACUGGAAUUCCUGGUGUAGCGGUGAAAUGCGCAGAUAUCGGGAGGAACACCUGUGGCGAAAGCGGCGCACUGGACCAUACUGACGCUGAUGCGCGAAAGCGUGGGGAGCAAACAGG